rnacentral:rRNA from 1 species
UACGUAGGGUGCGAGCGUUGUCCGGAAUUAUUGGGCGUAAAGAGCUCGUAGGCGGUCUGUCGCGUCGGUCGUGAAAACUUGGGGCUUAACCCUGAGCUUGCGGUCGAUACGGGCAUGACUGGAGUUCGGCAGGGGAGACUGGAAUUCCUGGUGUAGCGGUGAAAUGCGCAGAUAUCAGGAGGAACACCGAUGGCGAAGGCAGUUCUCUGGGCCGUAACUGACGCUGAGGAGCGAAAGCGUGGGGAGCGAACAGG